CCCUUAGAUGUUCUGGGCCGCACGCGUGCUACACUGAGUGGAUUAGCGGGUCAGGUUGCGCGAAAGCGUUUCCUAAUCUUUAAAUCCGCUCGUGAUGGGGAUUGACGGUUGCAAUUUUCUGUCAUGAACGAGGAAUACCUUGUAAGCGCGGGUCAUCAUCCCGCGCUGAAUACGUCCCUGCCCUUUGUACACACCGCCCGUCGCUCCUACCGAUUGAGUGGUCCGGUGAGGCUUUGGGAUCUGAGCGGAAAGAGCGUUUCGCUGUUUCUGCUCGGAAAACUCAGUCGAACCUUAUCAUUUAGAGGAAGGAGAAGUCGUAACA
rnacentral:rRNA from 1 species